rfam:Camelus ferus unplaced genomic scaffold scaffold37268, whole genome shotgun sequence.
GAGGGUAUAGCUCAGUGGUAGAGUGCAUGCUUAGCAUGCACGCGGUCUUGGGUUCAGUCCCCAGUCCCUCCA